rnacentral:lncRNA from 1 species
GGUUUAAAUAAAAAAGCCUCACAUUACAAAAUCGUCUUACAGUGUUCCAGUUCCAGCACAGACAAAUGUAUAUAAUACAUAAUGUAGUGCCAAAUUAUCUCAAAGCAACAGAUUUAGAUAACAUGAUUUAAGUAGUACAUGCAUGUACCAAAUAUCAAAUGAAUUAAAAACAAUUAUUUCUAGAUUUUCCACACCCUUUCGGUGUUCCCAUUAGCUGGCCAUCUCCGCUCCAGUCCUGUGGGUGGCGUUAAAGCAGAAAGCACAUCUCACAUGAAGAAGAAUGCCAAAAGGAAGCUUUCGUUUUCCUUUUCCACCUCCUUCUUUUCUCGAGGAUUUAUAGUUGUUUGAGAUAAACCACAACUAGUUCAGUUGACUGGUCAAAACCAAUGUACGAUAAACGUUGAAUUCGCAAGACAUUGCACUACAGCUACGCACUAAACAGAAAGUAGACGGAAAGUUGCUACCCGCGUUUGAGCCUCUUCAGAAGUGACAUCUAUCGACGAGAAAUACUGGGUGAUUUCUAGGGUUUGCCCUGGCAGCGGUAAAGGAAGAGUAAUCACAAUUAAAACAUCAGGUUUGCGAUGGCAAUUUCUGAAUUGUGGCCCAGCACCUCAAACAAGGCAGGCCAUAUAUAACAAGGUUUACAUCAUUGUAUUAUGCUCAAAUGUCACAUUUUCCUACGGAGUUGGGGGAAUUGAUGAUUGAUUUUAUAAUCAAAGACUUUUAAGGAUAGAUUUUUAAUUCUUUUUGGAAUUUUCUAUUUUAUUGAGCUUGGUAGAGUUGCCAUUUUAGAAAUAUUGUUACCAGUUUUGGCUUUUUAUUAAAUGUAUAUAGAAACUUAGCCUUGUUUUAUAGCAACUGAAGUGAGAUUGGACUUUAUUUCCUGGAAAAUAAUUCCAGUAGUCGUUGAUGUAUUUUUUUAAACAUCUCACAUAAUAUAUCAUGUUCCCUGUUUCCUAAACGAUUUAACUUUAUACCUCAAAAG